AUUAGACUCACGUGAGGGUCUUUAACAAUAAACACCUCACACCAACAAUACCAGAAUCUCUAGAGCUAGGACUCGGAUAGUUUUGUUCCUUCCCUUUUCUUUACCCUGCUUCUCUUCCCCAGCACAGAUAAUUCAAUAUGUUUCCAAAGUUAAACGAAUGCUCUACUGGAAGGUGAAGCAUCAAGCUAGAAGGAAUAUGGGUUUUUAGAACCCUUGUGCGAUACCUUAGGACAACUACCAGUUCAGAUUGUCACGUCAGAGAGAAAGAGUUUCUCUCUUGUUUUACUCACGUCU
rnacentral:lncRNA from 10 species